UACGUAGGUGGCGAGCGUUGUCCGGAUUUACUGGGCGUAAAGAGCGUGUAGGCGGCCAAGCAGGUCCGUUGUGAAAACUGGAGGCUUAACCUCCAGACGUCGACGGAAACCGCGUGGCUAGAGUCCGGAAGAGGAGAGUGGAAUUCCUGGUGUAGCGGUGAAAUGCGCAGAUAUCAGGAAGAACACCAAUGGCGAAGGCAGCUCUCUGGGACGGUACUGACGCUGAGACGCGAAAGCGUGGGGAGCGAACAGG
rnacentral:rRNA from 1 species